rnacentral:rRNA from 1 species
GACGAACGCUGGCGGCGUGCUUAACACAUGCAAGUCGAACGAAGUGGCGAACGGGUGAGUAACGCGUAAUCAACCUGCCCUUCAGAGGGGGACAACAGUUGGAAACGACUGCUACUACCGCAUACUGAAGGAGGGGAUUGCGUCUGAUUAGCUAGUUGGAGGGGUAACGGCCCACAAAGGCGAUGAUCAGUAGCCGGGCUGGGAGGAUGAACAGCCACAUUGGGAGUGAGACACGGCCCAGACGCCUUCGGGAGGCAGCGGUGGUGAAUCGUCCGAAAUGGGAGAAAGUCUGACGGAGCAACGCCGCGUGAGUGAUGACGGCCUUCGGGUUGUAAAGAUCUGUUAAUCGGGACGCGGUACCGGAAUAGAAAGCCACGGCUAGCUACGUGCCAGCAGCCGCGGUAAUUC